UCCCGGUUAACCCGGGCAGUCUCGUUAGAGUUCCCACCAUCACGUGUUGGCAACUAACGAUAAGGGUUGCGCUCGUUGCGGGACUUAACCCAACACCUCACGGCACGAGCUGACGACAGCCAUGCAGCACCUGUGCAGAGGCCCCGAAGGGAAGCGACAUUUCUGCCGCGGUCCUCUACAUGUCAAGCCUGGGUAAGGUUCUUCGCGUUGCAUCGAAUUAAACCACAUGCUCCACUGCUUGUGCGGGUCCCCGUCAAUUCUUUUGAGUUUCACCCUUGCGAGCGUACUCCCCAGGCGGUAUACUUAACGCGUUAGCUACGGCACAACCGGGGUUGAGUCCAGUUACACCAAGUAUACAUCGUUUAGGGCAAGGACUAC
rnacentral:misc_RNA from 1 species